GGCCGCGGUUGUCUGCAGCAUCAAGUACAGCCUCCUCUCCGGUGAGCCCACCUCCUACCUCUAGCUCCCUUUUUUGUGCUGUUGUAGAAGUACCUUGCUCUAUUCCAUGGCCAUAAUAUUUUUUUCAUAAAAUGCUCUAGUGAACAGGAUUUAUACAUAAGUUGGCUACUUUUCCUCAAGUUAUUUGUGCAUUUAUAAACUAUUUGAACUUUUCUAUUUCUUGAAUGUAUCCAUCCAUAAAUGUUUUAUACAGAUAGUUUUGGAAUGUGUUUUUUGUUAGCUUAUGUCGUGCAUCACAAAUGGAUCAAGUUCCAGUUUUAGUUUUGUUGUUAUUAAUCUCUACAAUCCUGUCAGCAUAAUAAGUAUGUGAAUGAAUCCGAUCGAGUAUCUAAAACUAGAUGUUUCGUUGCCCAUAGUAAUUAAAAAGAGCAGUUAGUUUCUCAUUACACACUAUUAUUAUCACUUCAUGACUUGAUCUAUUGUAUUAGGCUGUUGUAGGUGCUGAACUGUGAUCAUGUUUUAUGGCCCACAUGCAUGCUACGUGUUGGCUGACUUGGCAUGACGUGCAUGAAAACUUCUGGGCACUCAUACUGAAUAGCACUUCUUGAUUUUCAUGCAGACUUGCUCUAGCUCUUCUUAUUUUUCAUGCAUGUUUCUUUCCGGACUUAAUUUUACUAAAUAGCACCCCAUCACUUGCUGCCGUUGUUAUUCACUAUAUCCUUGCUGUUAUGUUUUCUUGUUGGCAGAUAUUUUGCCUAAAUUCAAGACGAAAGAAGAUGUUCAAAGAAGCGCCAAGACAUUUUUGUAUAGCAAGUUAUGUAAUAAUAGCUGGGUUAUCUGGGCAUUGUGAACUCCAGAAUUUCAUGUAUCUUCUCUCUGUUUUUGAAUGAAAUGUUGUAUGUGUGUUGAUGUAACAGAUUGUUGCUUCUUGUUAUUUGAAGUAUUACACUUGUUUUUUGUCUAUUUUGAUUUAAAUAUUG
rnacentral:lncRNA from 1 species